CUUGCAACGGUGCGUAAAACUGGAAGGCACACAACAUGAACCAACAGCACUAAUACUAGUUUUCUAUAACAUUAACAGACAACAACUUUUCUUAAAAGCUCAGUUCAUAAGUUUUUAUCCUUCUAUCAAUGGAAUUUUCAGUCAGGCAGGUCCCACACCUCAUAGCUGCCGCUAACGCAGAGCCAGGACAGUCGUCAGGUUUAGAGCGAUGCUGUGACGAAUCUUUGGAGCGCUGUCCUACCUGGCGGGGAGGAUAGCGUCCUGCUGCUGCUCUUCCCCAAAGAGGAGCAAAGGAUGACGCCGCCAGCAUGGCAACUGGGAAGUGCGGUCCGUCUGUCAUGGGAUUCCAGCCAAUGCGCUUCCUCCAGCCUGCUCUAGGCCAAAGGACAGGCAGGCAGAGAAAUAUGAGGUCACCAUUCAGAACAUUCCAGAGUCCCCACAAGACGUUUCUAAUUUAGGGAUCUAAGCUGCAGUUCUACAAGUGGCAUGCAGGGGGCACUGUGUCUCUGUACUGUAAUAAUGACGACUGGCCUGUAAAUUCCAAAGGUAGGAGGUAGGCCAGGCUGACUAACUUCAUGGUACAGAGAUCAGUGGGGUUUCACCUUUCUUGCAGCUAAUACAUCUAAUCUUUCCUAUUCCUGUACUUUUAUUUAAUCAGCUCUUUUGUACUGUAAUUCACUGGGGCGAAAAAAUAACAAUUUUAUUAUUCUUUUAUCAUAACGUACAGCUGUGAAAAUGCUCCCCCUCAAUCCUGAGGGGUUUAUACAUUAGGACAGGCUUUUCAAAUUACUGUUUGCCAUGUUAACAUAACAUAACACCAGACGAGAACAGGCCGUUCAGCCCAACACUGCUCGUCUAUUCCUACCACUAAACUGUACUUAAUGUUUACUUUACCUGAAAGGUAAACAUUACAAUUACUGAUUAUUAAUUGGCCUCUGGGCCUUCUUGGUGAUAUUGCGUUUUCGUAUUCCUGAGAAUUACACUGAUUUUCUGGAUAAGAGAGUCUGCUAAGUGUCUGUAAUGUAAAUGCAUGUUAUUACUGAUUAAGUGCUGAGUAAAUAUGAAAACCAGCAAGACACUGUGACUAGGUUAAGUAGCCCUGCACUAGGGUUAUUCGUUCUGUGGGUGAACAUAGUUUCACCUAAAUAAAGCUAUUCCUACAGCACACAUUAAUGUUUGUUGAACCAAAUCGUGUUCUUACGUUUUCAUGAAUUACAAAAUAAAGAAAAAGUUAACUCAA